AGAAUUUCUCUCAGGGUGAUAACUUGGUCAAAAUAAAGAGGAAUUUAAUAACAAAGAUAGAACAACUGUUGUGGUGCGUGACCAGGCGCUGGGAAUGGGGUGUCUUCUCUCUGAACCAAUCAUCUUUCUUCUCUACUGUUAGAACUACAAGU